CAGUAGCCACGGUAAUACGUAGGGUGCAAGCGUUAAUCGGAAUUACUGGGCGUAAAGCGUGCGCAGGCGGUUAUAUAAGACAGAUGUGAAAUCCCCGGGCUCAACCUGGGAACUGCAUUUGUGACUGUAUAGCUAGAGUACGGCAGAGGGGGAUGGAAUUCCGCGUGUAGCAGUGAAAUGCGUAGAUAUGCGGAGGAACACCGAUGGCGAAGGCAAUCCCCUGGGCCUGUACUGACGCUCAUGCACGAAAGCGUGGGGAGCAAACAGGAUUAGAUACCCUGUAGUCCCUGUCUCUUAUACA
rnacentral:rRNA from 1 species